GAUGAAGAACGCAGCGAAAUGCGAUAAGUAAUGUGAAUUGCAGAAUCCAGUGAAUCAUCGAAUCUUUGAACGCACAUUGCGCCCGCCAGCAUUCUGGCGGGCAUGCCUGUUCGAGCGUCAUUUCAACCCUCGACCUCCCUUUGGGGAAGUCGGCGUUGGGGACCGGCAGCACACCGCCGGCCCUGAAAUGGAGUGGCGGCCCGUCCGCGGCGACCUCUGCGUAGUAAUCCAACUCGCACCGGAACCCCGACGCGGCCACGCCGUAAAACACCCAACUUCUGAACGUUGACCUCGAAUCAGGUAGGUCUACCCGCUGAACUUAAGCAUAUCAAUAAGCGGAGGA
rnacentral:misc_RNA from 1 species